rnacentral:rRNA from 1 species
AGAGUUUGAUCCUGGCUCAGGAUGAACGCUAGCGACAGGCCUAACACAUGCAAGUCGAGGGGCAACAUGGUAUCAGCUUGCUGAUACUGAUGGCGACCGGCGCACGGGUGAGUAACGCGUAUGUAAUCUACCUGUAACAGAGGGAUAACCCGGAGAAAUCCGGACUAAUACCUCAUAGCACAUAUUAUUCGCAUGAGUUUUAUGUUAAAGAGAUUCGGUUACAGAUGAACAUGCGUUCCAUUAGCUAGUUGGCGGGGUUACGGCCCACCAAGGCAACGAUGGAUAGGGGUUCUGAGAGGAAGGUCCCCCACACUGGUACUGAGACACGGACCAGACUCCUACGGGAGGCAGCAGUGAGGAAUAUUGGUCAAUGGACGCAAGUCUGAACCAGCCAUGCCGCGUGCAGGAUGACGGCUCUAUGAGUUGUAAACUGCUUUUGUACGAGGGUAAACGCAGAUACGUGUAUCUGUCUGAAAGUAUCGUACGAAUAAGGAUCGGCUAACUCCGUGCCAGCAGCCGCGGUAAUACGGAGGAUUCAAGCGUUAUCCGGAUUUAUUGGGUUUAAAGGGUGCGUAGGCGGUUUGAUAAGUUAGAGGUGAAAUUUCGGGGCUCAACCCUGAACGUGCCUCUAAUACUGUUGAGCUAGAGAGUAGUUGCGGUAGGCGGAAUGUAUGGUGUAGCGGUGAAAUGCUUAGAGAUCAUACAGAACACCGAUUGCGAAGGCAGCUUACCAAACUAUAUCUGACGUUGAGGCACGAAAGCGUGGGGAGCAAACAGGAUUAGAUACCCUGGUAGUCCACGCAGUAAACGAUGAUAACUCGUUGUCGGCGAUACACAGUCGGUGACUAAGCGAAAGCGAUAAGUUAUCCACCUGGGGAGUACGUUCGCAAGAAUGAAACUCAAAGGAAUUGACGGGGGCCCGCACAAGCGGAGGAACAUGUG